rnacentral:lncRNA from 1 species
CCGGGAUAAGAAAGAUCAUGGAAGAAGAGAGCACCCAUAAGGAGAAACUGGAGGCUCUCCAUGUAAGAUAAGACCCCGGAGUUCUAGGGAGUCGACAUCACACUGCUUGGAGGCGGGGCAUGGAUGAGUGCCUGAGCAGAUGAGGACAUCUUUCCCAGAGUGUAAAAACUGGCCUGCGUGGGCCCAGACAGUUUAAGGUCAAACUGAUCAAAGAAAUGUUUUUCUCUAGGAGGUUAAAAAAAUAUGCUGAAAAAACUAUAAAGCCCCCAGAGCCUGAACAAUGUGAAGAAGGGGCAAGAAUGACCCCAGCCCGACCAGUCUGCCUGCUGCUGCAUUCCUGCAUCCAUAGCAUAUGUCCUGCCGCAUCACUGCCAUGCCCAAGAAAAAGCUGAAGGGGAUGCUACAGGCAAUAGAGCCAAGAAGACAAUGGGAUGGAUAUUUGGAUCAGAGUAUGAGUUGUGGAUGAAGAGGGAAAAUUUCUCCUACUGGCACUGUGAUGACUAGUGCAAACCUACGCUAUCUACAAUGCCUUCCCUGUCUUGCGGCUCGUUCUUUCUGAAGCCAGAACACUUAGAGUGGGUGGGGAUAGUAGGGAGAACCACCAUGCUGCAAUAGCAAACCAGCUCCAGAGAAGGGUCUUCAAGGGGUGCUAAUAAUACUUUCUGACAAUGAAUCUUCACUGUGGGGAUAUAAAUUAUAUGCAUCCUAAACUUGAGUUUG